AUGUGUGUCCCUGACCUCAGUAUUCUCAGGAGUGCUGUGUUAGGAGAUAAACAUUAUAAUUUGGGAGCCAUUGUUGCACGUAGGUUGCAUCAUAAUAGAUUUAAUGGAGAUUUCUUUGGUGGAAUUUAUGCAACCCGUAUAGCUAAUUUUCUUGGUGUAACCAUACGUGAGGAUGAUAUUGAGUUGCCUCCUGCUUAUUUAGAUUAUGAAGCUAUGGCGCAUCACCGUUUUGUUGAAAGGAACAAUCAGUUCCUCCAGCACCGACUAAUCUUUGACAGACGACGCACCUAUCAUGUCGCUCUCCCUGCUUCUACUUUCUUUGACUUUCAGGCAAAGGGGAGAUAUUACAUAACCAGAGAGGAGGCGGAUGAGUAUAAGAGGAGGGCUGAGAUAGCUCGCCUCCAAGCUGCAGCCCACGAUGCAAUGACUGCUGCAUCUCAGUACGACCCCAACUAUAACUUUGGAUAUCCACCAGGCCAGCCGUGGCAAUAG
rnacentral:rRNA from 1 species